rnacentral:miRNA from 1 species
AUAAUUUAUAUAUUAAAAAUAAUUUUUAUUAUAUAAAAAAUAUUUAUCUUAUUAUGAAGAUAAAUAUUUGUUAACAUAUCUAACUAAG